AUGAUAGAGAUUGUAGACUUACCUGCCAGAGUCGUAUGGCACGUCUUUGACGGUGUUACAAUGACGAGAAGUCUAAAGAUAACUCGGGGCUGCCGUGGCUUGGUUCAGUUUUGUGCAAGGAGGAAAUUAAAGCAUGAAUUUAGACAAAUUAGCUUGUAUUGUUCUUACUUGUUUAUGAUUCCGAUUGAUGAUGUAAUGACAUUGGAUAUUGAAACUUGA